rfam:Trichobilharzia regenti genome assembly, scaffold: TRE_scaffold0050622
AGCCGUCUGUAUCCGUGCUGAGAUUUCGUCAGAGAUCAACCCGUUGGCGCUGAUGUAACUUCUCAAAUAAGUGAAGCA